AAAAAGUCAGAUGUGGUAGCACAUGCCUGUAGUCCCGCUUGAACCUGGCAGGCGGAGGCUGCAGUGGGCCAAGAUUACACCACUGCACUCCAGCCUGGGCAACAGAGCAAGACUUCAUCUAAAAUAAAUAUAUGAAAAAAAGAUAAGAGCUGAAUGAGCAUGCCAAGAAUGGAGAAAGGGGGUAUUUUCACAGAAGCAGUAUUUUUCCCAGUCCCAUCUCCACCUGAUGUCAAUCAGAACACACCAUUGGCCAUUUUACAAAAAAACAAACAAAAACACAAAUGCAAUACGCUGGUGCACACAUACCCAUUACUGUAUGUACAGCAAAGGAAAGGGGAAGGUGAAAAUGAAAUAAAACUAUACUAUAUUGGUCGGGAUGUAGUGGAACCAAAUUGCAGUUUUCUAAUUGAGGAUGUAAUCUUGGUCUGUAAGAACAGAGGUUUGGAGUAAAGUAGUAGGUUCCUUUUUUAGUAGACACCUGUCUCCUGCAGGAAAACGUCAAUUGUGUAUUCAUCCUCCAUUACCAACUGUGCAGGCUCUCAUCAGUUUACUAGGCAGUGUAUGCCUCUUAAACUGCGCCACAGAACUAUCCUGCCACACCACCUUCAAACAAAUAUGAUCGUUGUUCUCAGUCUUAACUUCUUCCUUGAGCUUCCAUGGCCAUGGCAAGCACCAGAAUCUCUGCAGCUGCUGCUUCACAAAGCAGG
rnacentral:lncRNA from 1 species